GGGGAUUUAGCUCAGCGGUAGAGCGCUUGCCUAGCAUGAGGCAAGACCCUGGGUUCGGUCCCCAGCUCCG
rnacentral:tRNA from 1 species